rnacentral:rRNA from 1 species
AUACGUAGGUGGCAAGCGUUGUCCGGAUUUACUGGGUGUAAAGGGCGUGCAGCCGGGACGGCAAGUCAGAUGUGAAAUCCAUGGGCUUAACCCAUGAACUGCAUUUGAAACUGUCGUUCUUGAGUACCGGAGGGGCCAUCGGAAUUCCUAGUGUAGCGGUGAAAUGCGUAGAUAUUAGGAGGAACACCAGUGGCGAAGGCGGAUUGCUGGACGGCAACUGACGGUGAGGCGCGAAAGUGUGGGGAGCAAACAGGAUUAGAUACCCUGGUAGUCCACACUGUAAACGAUGGAUACUAGGUGUGCGGGGACUGACCCCCUGCGUGCCGGCGUUAACACAAUAAGUAUCCCACCUGGGGAGUACGAUCGCAAGGUUGAAACUCAAAUGAAUUGACGGGG